UAUGGGAUGGGGUCGCGUCCUAUCAGGUAGUCGGCGGGGUAACGGCCCACCGAGCCUACGACGGGUAGCCGGCCUGAGAGGGCGACCGGCCACAUUGGGACUGAGAUACGGCCCAGACUCCUACGGGAGGCAGCAGUGGGGAAUAUUGCACAAUGGGCGCAAGCCUGAUGCAGCGACGCCGCGUGCGGGAUGACGGCCUUCGGGUUGUAAACCGCUUUUGAUCGGGAGCAAGCCUUCGGGUGAGUGUACCUUUCGAAUAAGCACCGGCUAACUACGUGCCAGCAGCCGCGGUAAU
rnacentral:rRNA from 1 species